rnacentral:lncRNA from 1 species
AUAAAGAAGUGUCUGCAGUUUAUUAACUGGAAAUCAUAUCUCGGGUUUAGAAUCACCCUUAGUCAACAAAAUAACUUAGUUACCCAUAACAAACUAAACAAAGUAAAAUCCAUAUGGAAGUAAUAAAAAGGAGAAGAAAGGAAGCUUGAUGGAGAUGAUCGAUGCUGGUUCCCACGGUUCCUGAAAUUAGUGUCCGAGUUCUGCACCUUUUCCUCUCGUCUUCCUCCGCUAAUCCUCCUUCCGAAAAGUACCUGUGAACCCCGUUCUUUUUUCUUAUUUUUUUUCCUCCCAGUGUUAUGGGAUUUUCAGUCCAUUUGAGUUCCUAGAGUC